UACGGGGGGAGCAAGCGUUGUUCGGAUUUACUGGGCGUAAAGGGCGCGUAGGCGGUCAGCACAAGUCAGUUGUGAAAUCUCCGGGCUUAACUCGGAAAGGUCAACUGAUACUGUGCGACUAGAGUUCGGUAGGGGAGACUGGAAUUCCUGGUGUAGCGGUGAAAUGCGCAGAUAUCAGGAGGAACACCGGUGGCGAAGGCGGGUCUCUGGGCCGAUACUGACGCUGAGGAGCGAAAGCGUGGGGAGCGAACAGG
rnacentral:rRNA from 1 species